CAACCCUCAAGCUCAGCUUGGUGUUGGGAUUCGCGGAGCAAUCCGCGGUCCCCAAAUCGAUUGGCGGUCACGUCGAGCUUCCAUAGCGUAGUAAUUACAACCUCGUUACUGGUAAUCGUCGCGGCCACGCCGUUAAACCCCAACUUCUGAA
rnacentral:misc_RNA from 1 species